UAUUAGGAAAAACAAUACAUGCAUUAGGUGUGUGUAUUAGUAAUACAUUGUUUGUUACAUUUUUUUUGGGUCAUGUAUAAUUGUGUAUUAAGUUGUGUAUUACUAAUACCAAGAAAUUUUAGGUAUUAGUAAUAAAUAGCAUUUUUACACUUGCACUAGAUUAUGCAAUUACAAAAAUACCCUCAAAGCCAUUUAAAAAAACAUUUUCCAUAGUACUUGUUUCAUCUUCUCUUUCAUCUUCUGUGUACUUUGUCAAUGAAAGAGUAGAUUUUUCUUCCUUUUGCUCAAUCAAACAUUGUUUGCUCAUCUUCAUAAGGUCAGAUGAUGUUGGUGAAUUUGUGCUGUUUUUCUGCGAUCUCGAUUGGUGAAGUUGAGAAAAUUUGGAACAUUGGUGAAUGGAUGGGGAAUUUAUGUGAAGUUUUGUAGAGGUUUUUGGGUGUGUGAAAAGUGAAAAAUCUUUGAAUUUUUAGUUUUUUUUUGUUGGAUUGGAGUAUUUAUUUGAAUGAUUCCUUUGCAUAUGAAUAAGUUGAACUUUUGGACUUAUGGUGGCAAAA